GUCUAUGGCCACGCCACCCUGAACAAGCCCGAUCCUGUCUGAUCUCAGAAGCUAAGCAGGGUCGGGCCUGGUUAAUAUUUGGAUGGGAGACCACCUAGGAAGACCAGGUGCUGUAGGUG
rnacentral:rRNA from 1 species